rnacentral:rRNA from 1 species
UAGAGUUUGAUUAUGGCUCAGGAUGAACGCUAGCGGGAGGCUUAACACAUGCAAGUCGAGGGGUAAAUGGCAGCAAUGCUAUGAGACCGGCGGACGGGUGCGUAACGCGUAUGCAACAUACCUUGUGCAGGGGGAUAGCCCGUGGAAACGCGGAUUAAUAUUCCAUAGUCCAGCUAUAUCGCAUGGUAUAGUUGGUAAAGAUUUAUCGGCACAAGUUUGGCAUGCGUCUGAUUAGCUUGUUGGUAGGGUAACGGCCUACCAAGGCUACGAUCAGUAGGGGUUCUGAGAGGAUUAACCCCCACACUGGUACUGAGACACGGACCAGACUCCUACGGGAGGCAGCAGUGAGGAAUAUUGGUCAAUGGGCGGAAGCCUGAACCAGCCAUCCCGCGUGAAGGAAGACAGCCCUACGGGUUGUAAACUUCUUUUCUGUCAGAAGAAUAAGCUUGUCGAGACGAGUGAUGCCGGUAUGACAGGAAUAAGCAUCGGCUAACUCCGUGCCAGCAGCCGCGGUAAUACGGAGGAUGCAAGCGUUAUCCGGAUUUAUUGGGUUUAAAGGGUGCGCAGGUUGUUUGAUAAGUCAGUGGUGAAAGUCUGUCGCUUAACGGUAGGAUUGCCAUUGAUACUGUUGGACUUGAAUAUGGAUGAGGUAGGCGGAAUGUGUAGUGUAGCGGUGAAAUGCAUGGAUAUUACACAGAACACCGAUUGCGAAGGCAGCUUACUAAUCCAUCAUGACGCUGAGCACGA